AUUGAACGCUGGCGGAAUGCUUUACACAUGCAAGUCGAGCGGCAGCGCGGGGGCAACCCUGGCGGCGAGCGGCGAACGGGUGAGUAACAUAUCGGAACGUACCCAGUCGUGGGGGAUAACUAUCCGAAAGGAUAGCUAAUACCGCAUACGUCCUGAGGGAGAAAGCGGGGGAUCGCAAGACCUCGCGCGAUUGGAGCGGCCGAUAUCGGAUUAGCUAGUUGGUGGGGUAAAGGCUCACCAAGGCGACGAUCCGUAGCGGGUCUGAGAGGACGACCCGCCACACUGGAGCUGAGACACGGUCCAGACUCCUACGGGAGGCAGCAGUGGGGAAUUUUGGACAAUGGGGGCAACCCUGAUCCAGCCAUUCCGCGUGAGUGAAGAAGGCC
rnacentral:rRNA from 1 species